rnacentral:rRNA from 1 species
ACUCCUACGGGAGGCAGCAGUGGGGAAUAUUGCACAAUGGGCGCAAGCCUGAUGCAGCCAUGCCGCGUGUGUGAAGAAGGCCUUCGGGUUGUAAAGCACUUUCAGUUGUGAGGAAGGUGGUGUCGUUAAUAGCGGCAUCAUUUGACGUUAGCAACAGAAGAAGCACCGGCUAACUCCGUGCCAGCAGCCGCGGUAAUACGGAGGGUGCGAGCGUUAAUCGGAAUUACUGGGCGUAAAGCGCAUGCAGGUGGUUUGUUAAGUCAGAUGUGAAAGCCCGGGGGCUCAACCUCGGAACUGCAUUUGAAACUGGCAGACUAGAGUACUGUAGAGGGGGGUAGAAUUUCAGGUGUAGCGGUGAAAUGCGUAGAGAUCUGAAGGAAUACCGGUGGCGAAGGCGGCCCCCUGGACAGAUACUGACACUCAGAUGCGAAAGCGUGGGGAGCAAACAGGAUUAGAUACCCUGGUAGCACAGAG